GGGAAAGAUAGAGGAUGCGUUUUUUAUCAGUAGACGGCUGGAUAUGCAGGGAUAGGAGAAGGCCGGUGAAAGGAAAAAACGCCGAAAGGAUAAGACUCCUGCGGUUUUAUUGCUUGGGCAUACAGUGAAGAACUGUAUGACUGUCAUCAAAACGAUGGUGCGCUAUCUGAAGG
rfam:Blautia sp. An249 An249_contig_7, whole genome shotgun sequence.